rnacentral:tRNA from 1 species
ACGCUGAUGGUGAAAUGGUUAUCAUACUUUCCUUCGAAGCAAGCAGUAGGGGUUCUACUCCCCUUAGAUGUA